UACGAAGGGGGCUAGCGUUGCUCGGAAUCACUGGGCGUAAAGGGUGCGUAGGCGGGUCUUUAAGUCAGGGGUGAAAUCCUGGAGCUCAACUCCAGAACUGCCUUUGAUACUGAGGAUCUUGAGUUCGGGAGAGGUGAGUGGAACUGCGAGUGUAGAGGUGAAAUUCGUAGAUAUUCGCAAGAACACCCAGUGGCGAAGGCGGCUCACUGGCCCGAUACUGACGCUGAGGCACGAAAGCGUGGGGAAGCAAACAGGGAU
rnacentral:rRNA from 1 species